GUGUUUGCUUCAGCAACACAUGUACUAAAAUUGGAAGGAUACAGUGAAGAGUAGCAUUGGCCCUGUGCAAGGAUGACAUACAUAUUCAUGAAGCUUUCCAUAUUUUU
ensembl:snRNA U6 U6 spliceosomal RNA